rnacentral:tRNA from 1 species
AGCAGAAGAUACUUUUGUAAUUUUAAUUUGAAGUUAAAAAUCUUGGUUAGUUCCAACUUCUGUUA